rnacentral:rRNA from 1 species
UACGUAGGGGGCAAGCGUUGUCCGGAUUUAUUGGGCGUAAAGAGCUCGUAGGCGGUUUGGUAAGUCAGGCGUGAAAUCUCCACGCUCAACGUGGAGGGGCCACCUGAUACUGCCAUGACUGGAGUCCGGUAGAGGAGUGUGGAAUUCCCGGUGUAGCGGUGAAAUGCGUAGAUAUCCGGAGGAACACCGGUGGCGAAGGCGGCUUCCUGGACCGACACUGACGCUGAGGCGCGAAAGCUAGGGGAGCAAACGGG